GUACGAGGGGUGCAAGCGUUAAUCGGAAUUACGGGGCGUAAAGCGUUCGUAGGCGGUUUGUUAAGCAAGAUGUGAAAGCCCUGGGCUCAACCUGGGAACUGCAUUUUGAACUGGCAAGCUAGAAUACUGUAGAGGGUGGUGGAAUUUCCAGUGUAGCGGUGAAAUGCGUAGAGAUUGGAAGGAACAUCAGUGGCGAAGGCGGCCACCUGGACAGAUAUUGACGCUGAGGAACGAAAGCGUGGGGAGCGAACAGGAUUAGAUACCCCGGUAGUCC
rnacentral:rRNA from 1 species